UUCCUGGUGGUCAAGUGGUUAGGACUCUGCACUUUCACUGCAGAAAACACUGGUUCGAUCCCUGGUCAGGGAA
rnacentral:tRNA from 1 species